UACGAAGGGAGCUAGCGUUGUUCGGAAUUACUGGGCGUAAAGCGUGCGCAGGCGGUUCGUUAAGUUCGAUGUGAAAGCCCCGGGCUCAACCUGGGAACUGCAUUUGUGACUGCACGGCUGGAGUGCGGCAGAGGGGGAUGGAAUUCCGCGUGUAGCAGUGAAAUGCGUAGAUAUGCGGAGGAACACCGAUGGCGAAGGCAAUCCCCUGGGCCUGCACUGACGCUCAUGCACGAAAGCGUGGGGAGCAAACAGG
rnacentral:rRNA from 1 species